CUCACUGCUUCUCUAAUGGAGAACCACCACCUGAUAGAGCAAAAGCCUUGGUCGUUGGCCACAUCUGCGUGUUGCUAAGAAUUUGCUGAUCAGUUUAAUUUAUUAAAACAAACUGUUCUACUAAAAAUCAGAAUCAAACAAAACACUACUCUAGGGAAAUAAAACCUCUCACACCGAUGUCUGCAAUAUGCUGUUCCUGUCAGGGGUCAGGCUCAGUGACAUGGUGACCCUCAGUCACACGGGUCAGGUCAGGCUGCUCAAACCCAGCCUGAGGCAGCUGCACUCCUUUCCCUCCCCACGGUGCAGUGCUUUAGAAAUUAAGGUUUCUGAUUGUGAUGUGGGGAAUGACAAUUCUAUGAGUCAACAAAGGCCUGGAAGUAUAAACAGGAUGGGAAAUGGUCUUGCCAGUGCUGUCUCCUUUUCCAAAAGAAUGAGACCUCCUAGUAGACCAUCUCAAUAGCAUGUCCUGGAAAGCAGCACUUCCCGACUUUAGAUUUUACACUGAGAACAUCAUCACUACAGAUAAGUUUGCAUUUACUAGAACUUUACAUACAGAAUCAGAAGUAUGAGGAUCCUUCAAAAAGUUCAUGGAAGAACAGAAUUAAAAGUUAAUAGCUGAACCGGAAGCAGGCAGAUACUGGAAACUCUUGGAUAUACCAUGAAUCCAUCAUCUGCAACUAUUUUGCCUAUGGGUAAUGGAGCAAUCAUAGAGCAACCACCUAUUAUGGGGGAAGCUAAACUGCUUACAACAAUAUUCACACAGAAGGGUCACAUAUUUAACAGGCAAGUAGCUUUUCUCUUUGGAAUAGGACCCAGCAGGGUACUGGCUUAUGGUAACCUCAAGGAGAACCACAUCACAAAGCCAGACCAGAGUGAGUCAAUUUACAGUUUGAAUAAACUUAGAAGGCAGAGUCAAAACUGUUAUUGAUUUUUCUCAACGGAGAAAAUAACGAAAAAGUUCUAAAUGCUUUCAAAGAUUUACUUUAAUUCUGAAAAAAGGGGAAGCUUCUUUAAACUUCAUGUUUUUCAUUCAUAUGGUAUAUAUUUUAAAACUAAAUUUUAGGUUAAAAUUUCAUCUUUGUAUUUUGGAUGUAUUAUCCUUCUGAAUUUGGUUCAACUAUUUUAAGAAAAGGAAG